AAUCAACGCUGGCGGCGUGCCUCAGACAUGCAAGUCGAACGCGAAAGUCCCCUUCGGGGGACAAGUAGAGUGGCGCACGGGUGAGUAACACGUAGGUAAUCUACCUUCGGAUGGGGAAUAACAACCGGAAACGGUUGCUAAUACCGCAUAAUGCAGCGGCACCUAAUGGUGACAGUUGUUAAAGCGGGGGAUCGAAAGACCCCGCGUCUGAAGAGGAGCCUGCGGCGGAUUAGCUAGUUGGAAGGUAAUGGCUUACCAAGGCGACGAUCCGUAGCCGGCCUGAGAGGGCGGUCGGCCACACUGACACUGACAUACGGGUCAGACUCCUACGGGAGGCAGCAGUCGGGAAUUUUGGGCAAUGGGCGAAAGCCUGACCCAGCAACGCCGCGUGAAGGAUGAAAUCCCUCGG
rnacentral:rRNA from 1 species